AUUGAACGCUGGCGGCAGGCCUAACACAUGCAAGUCGAGCGAGCGGCGGACGGGUGAGUAAUGUAUGGGGACUGCCCGAUAGAGGGGGAUAACUACUGGAAACGGUGGCUAAUACCGCAUACCAUCGGAUAACCCAUAUGGGAUUGGCUAGUAGGUGGGGUAAUGGCUCACCUAGGCGACGAUCCCUAGCUGGUCUGAGAGGAUGAUAAGCCACACUGGAACUGAGAAACGGUCCAGACUCCUACGGAGGCAGCAGUGGGGAAUAUUGGACAAUGGACGAAAGUCUGAUCGAGCCACGCCGCGUGAGUGAAGAAGGGUUUCGGAUUGUAAAGCACUGUUAUCAGGGAAGCGGUAUCUAAACAGAAAGCAACGGCUAACUCCGUGCCAGCAGCCGCGGUAAUAC
rnacentral:rRNA from 1 species